AACCUCUGCGGCUGUUGGUGUGGAAAGGAGUUUCCCAAGAAACCAUGGGCAGCCUGACUGCUGGGGAGGGUGUGGCAGUCCCUGGGGCAGGAGAGUCUUCUCCCUUGCCGUCAGACCCAGUCCCAGUCUGCAUUUGCCAUGGCCUGUGCCGAGCACACUUUGAUUUAGAAAGAAAUACUUUCUAGGCCGCAUGAAGGAGUCUCUGAAAACUCCCCAUGCUGAAGCUGUCCUCCAGAAAUUUCAGAGAUGUCCUCUCAUCGCUCUAGUUUUAUCCUCCCUGUCUGAUGAAAGGAAUGAACUAGGUAAUCUCCAAGGUUUGUGUUUUUUCCUCACUAGCUUCUGCAAGGUUGGCUAUGUAACUUACAG
rnacentral:lncRNA from 1 species